UACAGAGGUCUCAAGCGUUGUUCGGAUUCAUUGGGCGUAAAGGGUGCGUAGGCGGCGCAGUAAGUCGGGUGUGAAAUCUUGGAGCUUAACUCCGAAACUGCAUUCGAUACUGCCGUGCUUGAGGACUGGAGAGGAGACUGGAAUUUACGGUGUAGCGGUGAAAUGCGUAGAUAUCGUAAGGAAGACCAGUGGCGAAGGCGGGUCUCUGGACAGUUCCUGACGCUGAGGCACGAAGGCCAGAGGAGCAAACGGG
rnacentral:rRNA from 1 species